rnacentral:rRNA from 1 species
UAGAUACCCUGGUAGUCCACGCCGUAAACGAUGUCAACUAGCCGUUGGGAGCCUUGAGCUCUUAGUGGCGCAGCUAACGCAUUAAGUUGACCGCCUGGGGAGUACGGCCGCAAGGUUAAAACUCAAAUGAAUUGACGGGGGCCCGCACAAGCGGUGGAGCAUGUGGUUUAAUUCGAAGACACGAGAACAUCUCAGCCGCUUGACAUCCAAUGAACUUUCUAGAGAUAGAUUGGUGCCUUCGGGAACAUUG